rnacentral:lncRNA from 1 species
CAAAAUUGGAGAGCGGCAAAACUCCCGGUCUCAAUUCACACACCUCACAUUUCAGUCUCCACACACUCAGCUCACUCACCUCUUUUACACUCACCUCUCUUCUCAAACUCCCCUCACUCACCUCUCCGGCACUUUUGACGACAACUGAAUCGGGGUCUCUCUCAAUGGAUUUCACCUUUAUUAGGGCUUUUUUGUUUCGGAUCUUCAGUUGUGGGCUUCGAUUUAAAGCUUCUUAAUUCAUUCACUGAAAUUAGGGCUUGAGAUUUAUAGUUUCUUACAAUUUAUUUAAGAGAUUCGAAUUAUGAGUUUCACUUUAACGUUGUUAAUUUAGUGUCUCUGUUUGUUUCAAGGCUUCAAUCAGAUUGGGCUCCAAUCCAAUCAGGACUUCCAUCAAAUUAGGGCUUUUCACUUUAAUGGGGGCUUCAAAUUGCUUGGAUUGUGAUUUAAGAUACACUCCUCUCUCAUAUAUUUGCUUGUAAGUAUGUAUCUUUGUUCUCUAAAAUCUAUGUUUGAUUUUAAAUAUAUGUGAUUCUGUGUAUAUGAGUUUUGGUUUGUUCUAUGUUGUCUUUGUCUAUCUCUCUCAUUCUCUUCCCCUCCCUCUCCUACUCUGUCUCCCCCUCUCUCUUACACACACAUUUAAUUUACUAUUUUACUUGCUAAUAUACACACACACACUCUACUACUCUGUUUCUCUUGUACAGAUUCUAUUAUGUGUAUUAUGUAUAUUUGUUAUUUUUAUUAUAUUGAUACUAAAAUAAUCUCAAGUGCUUGACAAGCUUGAUCGAUAAUAUGAGCUCUGCCAGACCUCAGUUUCCUACCAAAGAGUACAUGAAAACACAGGUAGAUAUCCAAACUUUUGCACCUAAUUAUAUAUCGUGAGUGAUUUACUGACUUUUUGUUUCUAUAGAUCAAACUAUCUGACCCUAUACACUAAUACACCAGUUAUCACUGGAGAAAUCGGUGCGCGAAAAUCUUCAAACCCGUGCUUCCCUUCACGGGGAGUCAUUUAAUUUCUCCAUUGGUAAAAUGCAUCCUGCAACUUUUGCUCAUCAUAUUUACUAUCUUUCAGGAAAGACUUUAUGUUAUUCUAAAAUAGGGAGAACAGUCAAACAACUGUUAUUGGUUGUCCUGGCGAACCAAUCUAGACAGGUGAGGUUUCUUGUCAUAUAGCCUUCAUCCACUGUUAACUUGAUAAGGUUUUAGUUGUCAAGUUUGAGUUAUAAUAUUACAUCUAAGAAAACCUUACUCAAGCAGGACUUUUCUAUGCUGAUUAUAAACCCUGAAAAACAAAAGAUGUAAUAUACAAGCUAAUGACUCCCCUGGCUUUGUAGAUUUGAGUAUAGGAACCUCGUAGGUUAACUUCUAUUUUGUACAUGUGAAGAAAAUGGUUUUUUAAAUCAGCGUGAUGUGUAGUUUAGUGACCUUAGAAUAGUUUAAUAUAUUUAGGUCUCAUAUAUUAAUUCAGUUGGCUUGGCAUCUGUCAGAAACAUUAAGAUGGGUUUGGCUAAGAAUUUGGUUAUUAGAAUGAAUGAGCAUAUAUUUAUAUACUAGAACUCCGUAUUCUGUCUGAAAUCAAAGUGCUUCCAGUUGGCCAUAUUACUCCCCCUACAAUAAUAAAACUGUAGCCUGUCAAUAUUAUUGAAUCUUUAUAUAUGUGAACUAAUGAACUAAAAAAUAGAGAUUAGUGGUAAAGAAUAGAGAUUAGUGGUAAUGGGAUAUGCUUUCUUCUGGCACUUAAGCAUCAUUGUAGAAAAUACUUAUCAUUCAUAAAAGGGUCAAAGUGUGAUUAUAUGAUAUAAACUUUAUUCAGUUCUGUGUAGAUAGCUUUCUCACAAAUUUUGGUGUAGGGGUAUAUAUACUAUAUUCUAUAUACUCUGAAGUUUAUAUGUUUAACUUUAUCGAACUGAGCUUAACUUUAUAUGUUUGUACUAGGCUACAACACCAAAUUUGGAACAGAAGCUUGAAAAAUUAGCUCCUGCAGAUGCUGUUGCUGGUUUGAUUGCUCCCUAUUUUGUGGAAAGGUUAGAGUCUACUUUUAAAUAUAAUAAAAUCAUUUACAGGGAUAUACACAAUCUUUAGGAAAGUGUAAUAAUUUUCCAGUUUGAAGCUUUCGGCCUGCGGUUUGAUAGAGAGCUGUUUGCUUUCAAAUUACUCCUUUUAAAAUGACACAUGGAGUGAUGUUUUAAUUGUACUAGAAGUGUAUCAAGGUAGCUUCUUGUGUUGUGUCUUGGUGUCCUUUUUGUAAUUGAUGAAUAGCUAAGAGGACACCAUUGUGAUUAAAUACCAAUAAAAAUGGACUAAUCUGUCUACCACUAUACAGGUUUGUAGGAUUACAUCAGUUGAAUUUAAUGGAAUAAAAGAUUUCCCCAAAAUAUGAAAUUUGUCAGAACUUAAAAUGAUGGAAGAGGAAUAGUAGUUUCAUGUGAGACAUGCAAAUCAAGUCAUAGAUCUAUUUAACUAGCUACAACUAUUACAAUUAUAUUAUAGUAUAGUGAUUUGGUUUGAUUUGAACCUCUGCAGUUAGUUAAUAGAAGUGUUUCAGCCUAUAUACCAAUAUUAAUGAUGGACAAAGUUUUUACCCUGUUUAGUUAAUUUCAUUAUCUACUGCAAAUUUAUUGUGUUAUCUGUUUACUGUCCAACUAAAUCCACAUAAUUUGAGUUGUUCAAAAUAAGCAUGGCUUAUUUACCGGAACUCAGCUUAGUAGUUGCAUUGUAUUGUUUCAGGGAAAGCCUAAGCCGUUAAUGGAUCAACCUAACAGAGUCAAAGACUUGACUGUUCCAGAAUUUGGAACUCUCCAAGCUUGGGAAGUGCGAGCAAAAUGCAAGAAUAUGUUUAUUUAUAUAAUAGUGUAGUGUACUGUGAUGUUUGGUUGGAUUUGUUUAAUACUUUGAUUUGGUUGGAUUUGUUAGGUAGUUUGGUUUGGUUGGAUUUGUUAUAAACUUUGAUUUGUAUGAAAGAAUAGUUUAAUGUUGCAGUUGAUAUAGUAAAAUAUUGCAAAAUUGUUAUUUGAUGUUGC